AUCAAGCAAGCUAUACUGCCGUAGACAGUAGGUGCCGAUAGUUCGGCGUAAGGAGACCGCCUACCGAGGAAGGAUGUAAUUAUUUUGAUGAUUUCACCUCUCUGUGUUUACGCAGGGAGGUUUUUUAUUUUGAAG
rfam:Clostridium sp. CAG:277 genomic scaffold, scf35